rnacentral:misc_RNA from 1 species
AGAUCCACUUUUCAUACUAGGCAAUCAAGGAAUGGGGUAUAUAGGAUCACAUGGAGUAGCAGCACUACACAGAUAUAAGUACAGUGGAGUUGAUCACUCUUACGUUGCUAAAUAUGUGCUGCAACCCUUUUGGAGUCGAUUUGUUAACUUCUUCCCUCUUUGGAUGCCACCCAACAUGAUCACCCUUACAGGAUUCAUGUUCUUGGUUACUUCUGCACUGCUUGGCUAUAUAUAUUCACCUCAUUUGGAUACAGCUCCACCAAGAUGGGUUCACUUUGCACAUGGAUUACUUCUAUUUUUAUAUCAGACUUUUGAUGCUGUUGAUGGGAAGCAAGCACGACGGACAAGCUCCUCGAGCCCAUUGGGAGAACUUUUUGACCAUGGAUGUGAUGCUCUUGCAUGUGCAUUUGAAAGUAUGGCUUUUGGUAGCACUGCAAUGUGUGGAAGAGACACUUUUUGGUUUUGGGUUAUUUCAGCUGUUCCAUUUUACGGUGCAACAUGGGAACACUUUUUUACAAAUACUCUUAUUCUUCCUGCAAUUAACGGACCAACUGAGGGUUUGAUGCUAAUAUAUGUAGCUCAUUUUUUCACAGGAAUAGUCGGUGCUGAGUGGUGGGUUCAGCACUUCGGGAAGUCUUUUCCCUUUCUAAGUUGGGUGCCAAUUAUCAGUGAAAUCCCAACUUUCAGAGCUGUACUGUUUAUAAUGAUAGCUUUUGGUGUUAUUCCUACAAUUGCGUUCAAUGUGUCCAAUGUCUACAAGGUUGUUCAGGCAAGAAAAGGCAACAUGUUAUUGGCAUUAGCCAUGCUUUACCCUUUUACUGUGCUUAUGGGAGGCGUCUUGGUGUGGGAUUAUCUGUCUCUAUCUGAUAUAAUGGGAAAUUAUCCUCAUUUAGUUAUACUGGGGACUGGACUUGCAUUUGGGUU